UAUUCAGCAUAGGUGAUAUAACUAUAUAUUCAGCAUAGGUGAUAUAAAUAAUAUAUUCAGCAUAGGUAAUAUAACUAAUAUAUUCAGCAUAGGUAAUAUAACUAUAUAUUCAGCAUAGGUAAUAUAACUAUAUAUUCAGCAUAGGUAAUAUAACUAUAUAUUCAGCAUAGGGGAUAUGACUAAUAUAUUCAGCAUAGGGGAUAUAACUAAUAUAUUCAGCAUAGGGGAUAUAACUAAUAUAUUCAGCAUAGGGGAUAUAACUAAUAUAUUCAGCAUAGGGGAUAUAACUAAUAUAUUCAGCAUAGGGGAUAUAACUAAUAUAUUCAGCAUAGGUAAUAUAACUAAUAUAUUCAGUAUAGGUGAUAUAACUAAUAUAUUCAGCAUAGGGGAUAUAACUAAUAUAUUCAGCAUAGGGGAUAUAACUAAUAUAUUCAGCAUAGGGGAUAUAACUAAUUUAUUCAGCAUAGGGGAUAUAACUAAUAUAUUCAGCAUAGGUAAUAUAACUAUAUAUUCAGCAUAGGUAAUAUAACUGGUAAUAUAACUAUAUAUUCAGCAUAGGUAAUAUAACUAUAUAUUCAGCAUAGGGGAUAUGACUAAUAUAUUCAGCAUAGGGGAUAUAACUAAUAUAUUCAGCAUAGGUAAUAUAACUAAUAUAUUCAGUAUAGGUGAUAUAACUAAUAUAUUCAGCAUAGGGGAUAUAACUAAUAUUUUCAGCAUAGGGGAUAUAACUAAUAUAUUCAGCAUAGGUGAUAUAACUAAUAUAUUCAGCAUAGGUAAAAUAACUAUUUAUUCAGCAUAUGUGAUAUAACUAUAUAUUCAGCAUAGGGGAUAUAACUAUAUAUUCAGCAUAGGUGACGUAACUAAUAUAUUCAGUACAGGGGAUAUAACUAAUAUAUUCAGCCUAGGUGUGUCACGCCCUGGUCUAAGUAUUUUGUGUUUUUCUUCAUGUAUUGGGUCAGGCCAGGGUGUUGGUGUGUAUGUAUUGGGAUUGUAGCUAGUGGGGUUAUCUAGCAAGGUCUAUGGCUGUCUGGAGUGGUUCUCAAUCAGAGGCAGGUGUUUAUCGUUGUCUCUGAUUGGGAACCAUAUUUAGGCAGCCAUAUUCUUUGAGUUUGUCGUGGGUGAUUGUCCUUAGUGUCGUUGUUCCUAUCUCUUUAUUUUAUUUACACAAGUAUAGGAUGUUUCGGUUUUCGUUACGUUCUUUGUUUUGUAGUGUUUUGUGUUUAUUCGUGUUUCACGUUGUUCAUUAAACAUGGAUCGCAAUCUACACGCUGCAUUUUGGUCCGACUAUCCUUCACACCUAGAAAACCGUAACAGAAUCACCCACCACCAACGGACCAAGCAGCGUGUCAACAGGCAGGAGCAGCCCAAAGAGGAGAUGCGCUAUAAGGAUUUCUGGACAUGGGAGGAAAUCCUAAACGGAGAAGGACCCUGGGAUCAGCCUGGAGAAUAUCGCCGCCCCAAAGAAGAACUGGAGGCGGCGAAAGCGGAGAGGUGCCGGUAUGAAGAGGCAGCACGGCGACUCGGAAGAAAGCCUGAGAGUCAGCCCCAAAAAUGUAUUGGGGGGGGGGACCUGAGGAGUCAGACCUGAGCCAACUCUCCCUGUUUAUCGUGAGGAGCCAAGGAGGAGACCAGAACCAGAGCUGGUGUUGGAGGUGAGCGAAACAGAGACUGUGAAGGAGUUAAUGGGGAAAUUGGAGGAGAGAGAAAUGAGGGAGUUGCUGUGUUGGUGCUUUUUGCAUGGAAUUCGCCCGACGGAACGUGUCGGGGAUUUGAUGGCACCUGGGUUAGCGCUCCAUACUCGUCCUGAGGUGCGUGUUAGUCGGCUGGUGAAGUUGGUGCCAGCCUCACGCACCAGGCCUCCUGUGCACAUCCCUAGCCUUGCACGUCCUGUGCCAGCACUGCUCUCAAGAUCUCCAGUACGCUUUCACGGUCUAGCCCAUCCUGUGCCACCUCCACACUCCAGUCCUCCGGUAGCAGCUCCCCGCACCAGGCUUCCUGUGCGUGUUGGCAGCCAGAGCUGUCAGUCUGCAUGGAGCAGCCAGAGCUGCCAGUCUGCAAGGAGCUGCCAGUCUGCACGGAGCUGCCAGUCUGCACGGAGCUGCCAGUCUGCACGGAGCUGCCAGUCUGUAAGGAGCUGCCAGUCUGUAAGGAGCUGCCAGUCUGCAAGGAGCUGCCAGUCUGCACGGAGCCGCCAGAGCUGCCAGUCUGUAAGAAGCCGCCAGAGCUGUCAGCCUACAUGGAGCAGCCAGAGCCGCCAGUCAGCAUGGAGCAGCCAGAUCUUUCAGUCUGCCAGGAUCCGCCAGUCGGCCAGACUCUUCCAGAUCUGCCAGUCAGCCAGACUCUUCCAGAUCUGCCAGUCAGCCAGACUCUUCCAGAUCUGCCAGUCAGCCAGACUCUUCCAGAUCUGCCAGUCAGCCAGACUCUUCCAGAUCUGCCAGUCAACCAGACUCUUCCAGAUCCGCCAGUCAACCAGACUCUUCCAGAUCCGCCAGUCAGCCGGGAUCUGCCAGAACUGCCAGUCGGCCAGGAUCCGCCAGUCGGCCAGGAUCCGCCAGAUCCGCCAGUCAACCAGGAUCUGCCAGUCAGCCAGGAUCUGCCAGUC
ensembl:lncRNA